GAGACGCUAGUCCAACCAAGACAACU
rnacentral:tRNA from 1 species